rnacentral:lncRNA from 1 species
AGUAAAAAGGUUUUUACGUGAAAAGCAGAGAAGCGAUCGUGAAAGAGGAAAAGGGCAAAGAGGCAGAGCAAGAGGAAGAAGGUUGGAGAAGAGAAGAGCUUGGAGCUUAAAGAUUCGCCGGAUUAACUCAGGUAAGGGGGGUUUAUCGUCGAUUAAUGGGUAUUAUGGGAUAAUAUGUGAUGGGUAGUGAUAAGCCGUUAAUUUGACCCUAAUUGGGAUUGUUGAUGCUGAAGAAUUAUGUUGGAUAAAUUGUAUUUAGACUGUAAUUGAAUCUGUGUUUGGGUUAGUUGUGAAAUUCCG